rnacentral:rRNA from 1 species
AGUGAACGCUGGCGGUAGGCCUAACACAUGCAAGUCGAACGGCAGCACAGUAAGAGCUUGCUCUUACGGGUGGCGAGUGGCGGACGGGUGAGGAAUACAUCGGAAUCUACUUUUUCGUGGGGGAUAACGUAGGGAAACUUACGCUAAUACCGCAUACGACCUACGGGUGAAAGCAGGGGAUCUUCGGACCUUGCUCGAUUGAAUGAGCCGAUGUCGGAUUAGCUAGUUGGCGGGUUAAGGGCCCACCAAGGCGACGAUCCGUAGCUGGUCUGAGAGGAUGAUCAGCCACACUGGAACUGAGACACGGUCCAGACUCCUACGGGAGGCAGCAGUGGGGAAUAUUGGACAAUGGGCGCAAGCCUGAUCCAGCCAUACCGCGUGGGUGAAGAAGGCCUUCGGGUUGUAAAGCCCUUUUGUUGGGAAAGAAAAGCAGCAGGUUAAUACCCCGCUGUUCUGACGGUACCCAAAGAAUAAGCACCGGCUAACUUCGU